rnacentral:rRNA from 1 species
GAGGAGGAGCUCCCUAGAUUAUACUCUAGGAUAGUGGACGUUACUCGCAGAAUAAGCACCGGCUAACUCUGUGCCAGCAGCCGCGGUAAUACAGAGGGUGCGAGCGUUAAUCGGAUUUACUGGGCGUAAAGCGUGCGUAGGCGGCUUUUUAAGUCGGAUGUGAAAUCCCCGAGCUUAACUUGGGAAUUGCAUUCGAUACUGGGAAGCUAGAGUAUGGGAGAGGAUGGUAGAAUUCCAGGUGUAGCGGUGAAAUGCGUAGAGAUCUGGAGGAAUCCCGAUGGCGAAGGCAGCCAUCUGCCCUAAUACUGACGCUGAGGUACGAAAGCAUGGGGAGCAAACAGGAUUAGAUACCCUGGUAGUCCAUGCCGUAAACGAUGUCUACUAGCCGUUGGGGCCUUUGAGGCUUUAGUGGCGCAGCUAACGCGAUAAGUAGCCCGCCUGGGGAGUACGGUCGCAAGACUAAAACUCAAAUGAAUUGACGGGGGCCCGCACAAGCGGUGGAGCAUGUGGUUUAAUUCGAUGCAACGCGAAGACCCUUCCCUGGCCUUGACAUAGUAGAAACUUUCCAGAGAUGGAUUGGUCCCUUCGGGAAUUUACAUACAGGUGCUGCAUGGCUGUCGUCAGCUCGUGUCGUGAGAUGUUGGGUUAAGUCCCGCAACGAGCGCACCCCUUUUCCUUAUUUCCCAGCAUUUCGGAUGGGAACUUUAAGGAUACUGCCAGUGACAAACUGGAGGAAGGCGGGGACGACGUCAAGUCAUCAUGGCCCUUACGCCCAGGGCUACACACGUGCUACAAUGGUCGGUACAAAGGGUUGCUACCUAGCGAUAGGAUGCGAAUCUCAAAAACCCGAUCGUAGUCCGGAUUGGAGUCUGCAACUCGACUCCAUGAAGUCGGA